AAGUGCGGCAGGCUUACACAUGCAAGUCGAGCGGGCGUAGCAAUACGUCAGCGGCAGACGGGUGAGUAACGCGUGGGAACGUACCUUUUGGUUCGGAACAACCCAGGGAAACUUGGGCUAAUACCGGAUAAGCCCUUACGGGGAAAGAUUUAUCGCCGAAAGAUCGGCCCGCGUCUGAUUAGCUAGUUGGUGAGGUAAUGGCCCACCAAGGCGACGAUCAGUAGCUGGUCUGAGAGGAUGAUCAGCCACAUUGGGACUGAGACACGGCCCAAACUCCUACGGGAGGCAGCAGUGGGGAAUAUUGGACAAUGGGCGCAAGCCUGAUCCAGCCAUGCCGCGUGAGUGAUGAAGGCCCUAGGGUUGUAAAGCUCUUUUGUGCGGGAAGAUAAUGACGGUACCGCAAGAAUAAGCCCCGGCUAACUUCGUGCCAGCAGCCGCGGUAAUACGAAGGG
rnacentral:rRNA from 1 species